UGGGGGAUAUUGCACAAUGGGCGCAAGCCUGAUGCAGCGACGCCGCGUGAGGGAUGACGGCUUUCGGGUUGUAAACCUCUUUCGCUACUGAACAAGGCCCUGCUUGUUGUGGGGUUGAGGGUAGGUGGAUAAGAAGCGCCGGCUAACUACGUGCCAGCAGCCGCGGUAAUACGUAGGGCGCGAGCGUUGUCCGGAAUUAUUGGGCGUAAAGAGCUCGUAGGCGGCUUGUCGCGUCUGCUGUGAAAACGCGGGGCUUAACUCCGCGCGUGCAGUGGGUACGGGCAGGCUAGAGUGUGGUAGGGGUGAUUGGAAUUCCUGGUGUAGCGGUGGAAUGCGCAGAUAUCAGGAGGAACACCGAUGGCGAAGGCAGGUCACUGGGCCAUUACUGA
rnacentral:rRNA from 1 species